UUUCCGUAGGUGAACCUGCGGAAGGAUCAUUAUUGUAUAACCGAGGUGCGAGGGCUGUCGCUGACCCGAAAGGUCGUGCACGCCCGAGUGCCCUCACACACAUCCAUCUCACCCCUAUGUGCACCACCGCGUGGGUCCCCCUUUGGCUUGUUCGGAGGGGGGCUUACGUUUUCACACAAACUUUGUAUGCAGUGUAGAAUGUAUUUUUUGUUUUUGCGAUCACGCAAUCAAUACAACUUUCAACAACGGAUCUCUUGGCUCUCGCAUCGAUGAAAACGCAGC
rnacentral:misc_RNA from 1 species